GAAGGCUUUUGUGAGAGCUCUUCAAUUAAAGAGAUAAUUAAGAUUAUUAAGUGUAGAAAUCCACUUUGUAAACACUUCUGAGACUAUGAGAUGUUCUGGUGUAUGUUUUAUGUAAGAGGAGUGUUGAAUGGUGGUGAGACUGUUAAUAAACCCUCUCUGGUGAACUGAAGUGAAAGUGUCCUGAGUUUUCCUUCAACACAAAGCAGAUGAGAGAAGCAGCGGUUAUCAGCAGACCGGCUUCAUCAGCACGCUUUUGUCUACUACAAGAAGUUCGGAAUAAACAGAACCAAACGGGUGGAGCUUGAGCUCCAAGUGGGUGGAGCUUGAGCUCCAAGUGGGUGGGGCCUGGGCUCCAAGUGGGUGGGACUUGAGCUCCAAGUGGGUGGGACUUGAGCUCCAAGUGGGUGGGACUUGAGCUCCAAGUAGGAUGUUCAAAUCUCCUGGGGCUUUUGAUUGAUUGAUUUAAUGUCUUGUACAUGAGCUGGAUUCUGAAGUACACAGAUUUAGUUUCAAUUCGUUAGUGAAAAAGAAGAGACGACAACCGCAUGGUUUUGAUGGCAGAGAUGUUAGUUUGUUUGUUUUAC